UACAGAGGUCCCAAGCGUUGUUCGGAUUCACUGGGCGUAAAGGGUGCGCAGGUGGGUUGGCAAGUUCGAUGUGAAAGCCCCGGGCUUAACCCGGGAAUGGCAUUGGAAACUGCUGAUCUGGAGGAUCGGAGGGGGGACUGGAAUUCUUGGUGUAGCAGUGAAAUGCGUAGAUAUCAAGAGGAACACCAGUGGCGAAGGCGAGUCCCUGGACGAUACCUGACACUGAGGCACGAAAGCUAGGGGAGCAAACAGG
rnacentral:rRNA from 1 species